UUAUACAGGGAAUAGCCCAGAGAAAUUUGGAUUAAUGCCCAUAGUGUUAUCGAAUCGCAUGGUUUGAUUAUUAAAGUUCCAACGGCAAAAGAUGAGCAUGCGUCCCAUUAGCUAGUUGGUAAGGUAACGGCUUACCAAGGCUACGAUUGGGUAGGGGUUCUGAGAGGGAGAUCCCCCACACUGGUACUGAGACACGGACCAGACUCCUACGGGAGGCAGCAGUGAGGAAUAUUGGACAAUGGGCGCAAGCCUGAUCCAGCCAUGCCGCGUGCAGGAUGACGGUCCUAUGGAUUGUAAACUGCUUUUAUACAGGAAGAAACACUCCGACGUGUCGGAGCUUGACGGUACUGUAAGAAUAAGGAUCGGCUAACUUCGUG
rnacentral:rRNA from 1 species